UACGUAGGGCGCAAGCGUUAUCCGGAAUUAUUGGGCGUAAAGAGCUCGUAGGCGGUUUGUCGCGUCUGCCGUGAAAGUCCGGGGCUCAACUCCGGAUCUGCGGUGGGUACGGGCAGACUAGAGUGAUGUAGGGGAGACUGGAAUUCCUGGUGUAGCGGUGGAAUGCGCAGAUAUCAGGAGGAACACCGAUGGCGAAGGCAGAUCUCUGGGCCGUAACUGACGCUGAGGAGCGAAAGCAUGGGGAGCGAACAGG
rnacentral:rRNA from 1 species